rnacentral:rRNA from 1 species
GGGGUGAUUCUUUCACACUUAGCGGCGGACGGGUGAGUAACGCGUGGGCAACCUACCCUGUACAGGGGGAUAACAACGGGAAACCGUUGCUAAUACCCCAUAACACCGAGAAGGGGCAUCUCUUUUCGGUCAAAGAAUUUCGGUACAGGAUGGGCCCGCGUCUGAUUAGCUAGUUGGUAAGGUAAUGGCUUACCAAGGCGACGAUCAGUAGCCGACCUGAGAGGGUGAUCGGCCACACUGGAACUGAGACACGGUCCAGACUCCUACGGGAGGCAGCAGUGGGGAAUAUUGCACAAUGGGGGAAACCCCGAUGCAGCAACGCCGCGUGAGCGAUGAAGGCCUUCGGGUCGUAAAGCUCUGUCCUAAGGGGAAGAUAAUGACGGUACCUUAGGAGGAAGCCCCGGCUAACUACGUGCCAGCAGCCGCGGUAACACGUAGGGGGCAAGCGUUAUCCGGAAUCACUGGGCGUAAAGGGUGCGUAGGCGGCCAAUAAAGUCAGAGGUGAAAGGCUACGGCUCAACCGUAGUAAGCCUUUGAAACUUAUUGGCUUGAGUGCAGGAGAGGAGAGUGGAAUUCCUAGUGUAGCGGUGAAAUGCGUAGAUAUUAGGAGGAACACCAGUGGCGAAGGCGACUCUCUGGACUGUAACUGACGCUGAGGCACGAAAGUGUGGGGAGCAAACAGGAUUAGAUACCCUGGUAGUCCACACCGUAAACGAUGAGUGCUAGGUGUUGGGGGUCGAACCUCAGUGCCGCAGCUAACGCAUUAAGCACUCCGCCUGGGGAGUACGCUCGCAAGAGUGAAACUCAAAGGAAUUGACGGGGACCCGCACAAGCAGCGGAGCAUGUGGUUUAAUUCGAAGCAACGCGAAGAACCUUACCUGGACUUGACAUCCUUCGGACCACUCCUUAACCGGAGUCUUCCCUUCGGGGACUGAGGUGACAGGUGGUGCAUGGUUGUCGUCAGCUCGCGUCGUGAGAUGUUGGGUUAAGUCCCGCAACGAGCGCAACCCUUAUCUUUAGUUGCCAGCAUUUAGGAUGGGCACUCUAGAGAGACUGCCGGGGACAACUCGGAGGAAGGUGGGGAUGACGUCAAAUCAUCAUGCCCCUUAUGUUCAGGGCUACACACGUGCUACAAUGGCCGAUACAACGGGCAGCGAAAGAGUAAUCUGGAGCUAAUCCUUUAAAGUCGGUCCCAGUUCGGAUUGUGGGCUGAAACUCGCCCUCAUGAAGUUGGAGUUGCUAGUAAUCGCGGAUCAGAAUGUCGCGGUGAAUGCGUUCC